AGAACAGAACAUCCUCUUUCUUUCCAGAGGGAAAGGUAGAGGAUGGCUUCUCCAGUGCCUUGAGAUUCAUCUGUGGCGGCAAAUAGACAUCAAUAAGGCCUGGGAUGUGUGCCCAGCCUUGUGAGCCAUGACUUGCUCAAGGUAUUGGAUCAAUGUUGCACCACAUGGCAUGCUGGUGACCAACACAGUGGGGCCUGAGAGACUGAGAAAAGGGCCUCAUGGAAGAUCUUAAAAAGGAGAUGGAGUUGUGUGUCAUCAGCACCCUGGUGGUACCAGACCACAAAAUUCUGGACAUCCUCUUUCAAGUUUUUCAGGUCACAGAACAGAGAGUCAAGGAAGCCAUGAGGACUGUAUGUAUGAGGGAUGAGGAGUUUGUAAUGCAAAAUGUACUGUGAGGCAUAUUUAUAAAUCCUUGAAGUCCCAGUUCAUCAGGAAAACAUUAUCUUGCUUUUUGCAUUCUCUCUCUCCCCCCCUUCUCUCCCUCUUUCCCUCUCCCUCUCCCUCUGUCUCUGUCUCUGUAUGUGUGUGUCCCCGAGAGAAGCUGUCUAUGGAGAAAGGUGUUACUGCCUAGUGGUUGAUGUGAUUCCUGUUAAAAUUCCCACAGCUUUGCCUCCAAGCUCUUUUUAAUGUUCUUGAGAUAAGGAAAGGGGCUUACAGAGCUGGCUAUACCACUAGGGAAAGUGAGGCAAUGAUUGCAGAUAGUUGUUUGGGAUGGGGUCAGGGUGAACUGGAGUGGCUACUUACUUACAUGUGGCAUACAGCUUGUCCUGACUGCAGAAACUGGUAUACAGUACUGUACUGCUCUAUGAAGGCUCAUUCAGAAGGCGAUCACAUUAUCAGUAUCUCUUCUGCCAGUUGAUUGAAUCAAGCCAAAUGGGAGCAGUGCUGAUAUGUUAACACCUGUGACAACGCCAUCCUAGUUCCUGGAGCUAGGUUAGGUGGGCCUUUAAUACCACCCAGCAGGACUCUUCUUAUGUUCUUUAAUCUGGCCAGUGUUGUGAAUAAGAGGCUAGAAAACGUGCAGAGUGCCUGAGGAUCUCUCAGUCUUCUGGCUUCAUUUGCCUGGGCAAGGGGUCACUCAUCUUUCCUGUUAAAAUACUUUGUAACUUUGAUUCCAUUCCUUUAGUAGCUUGAAAAAGGUUUUCCUAUGGACAGUAAUACUGACUCCUAAUGAACAGGAUCACCGCCUUGUAUAAAUGACACGUAUUUUAACAGAGACAUCUUUUACUGAAUCUACUUCCAAAAGCAGUGAUAUACAUGUUUUACUAUUUUCUCAGAAGCGGUAAUUUGUAUUAUCACUGUUCUUUGCAGGACGUCGUUCUUAGCCAAUCAAAGGCUCAAUGAUCAAUACAGUUUUCCACGCACCCAGUAUGAAAUAUUGUAUAUUGCUGUGCUUCUGAACUUCAUACAAAUCCCUCUGAAUUGGUCUGAUUUUUUAAUUAUUAUUUUGAAUUAGGGAGUCAGCCAAUUCACUGGUUCCCACCCCUGCCUUAAAGAUGCUCAAGCAGUGCCAAGGAUGGGAAAUCUAUAUAUCUGUGAUACAUGCCUUAGUUACUUCCCAGCUAGAUUACUUUAAUGUGCUCUA